UGCCAGACUCCUACGGGAGGCAGCAGUGGGGAAUAUUGCACAAUGGGGGGAACCCUGAUGCAGCGACGCCGCGUGGGCGAGGAAGUAUUUCGGUAUGUAAAGCCCUAUCGGCAGGGAAGAAGAAAUGACGGUACCUGAAUAAGAAGCACCGGCUAAAUACGUGCCAGCAGCCGCGGUAAUACGUAUGGUGCAAGCGUUAUCCGGAUUUACUGGGUGUAAAGGGCGUGUAGCCGGGCCGGCAAGUCAGAUGUGAAAUCCCAAGGCUCAACCUUGGAACUGCAUUUGAAACUGUUGGUCUUGAGUAUCGGAGAGGCAGGCGGAAUUCCUAGUGUAGCGGUGAAAUGCGUAGAUAUUAGGAGGAACACCAGUGGCGAAGGCGGCCUGCUGGACGACAACUGACGGUGAGGCGCGAAAGCGUGGGGAGCAAACAGGAUUAGAUACCCUGGUACU
rnacentral:rRNA from 1 species